rnacentral:rRNA from 1 species
UACGAAGGGGACUAGCGUUGUUCGGAAUCACUGGGCGUAAAGCGCACGUAGGCGGAUUUGUAAGUCAGGGGUGAAAUCCCGGGGCUCAACCUCGGAACUGCCUUUGAUACUGCGAGUCUUGAGUCCGAUAGAGGUGGGUGGAAUUCCUAGUGUAGAGGUGAAAAUUCGUAGAUAUUAGGAAGAACACCAGUGGCGAAGGCGGCCCACUGGAUCGGUACUGAGCUG